GUAUGGAGAAUGUAUGCUGGACCUCUUCAUGACCAACUGGUCAAGGACGAAAGAGUUCGACAAGCAUGACAACGAAAUGUCCAUGGCCGCUGCUCGCUGCAUGUAUGAGGUGGUGCCGAAUAUGGAAGUCCUGAGACAUUUGACUCUGUACGCACGCAAGGUGCUUGGGUAGGCAAAA